CAAAUUUCAAUGUGAAAAAACAAAUGCAAGCCUUAUAUAUUUGACUCUGUAACGUUUGAAAACACCAUAAAACCUGUACAUGAGGGGUACUGUUAUACUCGGGAGACUUCGCUGAACACAAAUAUUAGUGUUUCAAAAUAGUAAAACGUAUCACAACAAUAUUGUCCAUGUAAGUGCCAUUUGUGUGUGAAAAGGGCAAAAAAUUUCACUUUCACCAACGAUAUCAUCGUUGCAAUACAUUUUACUCUUUUGAAACACUAAUAUUUGUG